CCUGGCCUCCAGCAAUCCUCCUGCCCCAGCAUCCCAAAAUGCUGAGAUUAUAGGCACGAGCCACCAAGCCUGACUAACUGGGAAUUUAUUAAAGAGGCAAGCCCUGGUCACUCCACUAGAGAUUUUGAUUCAGGAGGUCUGGAGUGGGGUCCGGGAUUAUGUAUUUUUGACACAGUCUGCAGGAGAUGAUACAUUUGACAUAAUGGGCCCUAACUGGAGAAACUCAGGCAUGGUGUGAGAUACAAAGGGUUAGUAAAUUGCUCUGGUGGGAAGGAAGGAAGCAGUGAACAUUAAGGACCAAAAUCCUCCUACCUCUCCACCACCCCAGAAUUGAAGAUGCAGAGUACUGAGCCCUCCACCUGCAAAUGCAUACAGCCAUGAACAGAUGGGUGUAAACUGAGGCAGUGGAGGGAGAGGGGUACUCCCAAGCCCUGAAAAUCUCAGAGUAAGAGGCCACCGACGACAGCGCUCACCGGUGCUGAGCUCCCUUCUACAGAAACCUGCAAAGACUCAGAUCGAGGAGGAAAUACACCAGGAAAAUGUCACAGGAUCAUCUCGAGCAGUCCCUUCCAGCGCCAAGCCAUUCAUUCAAGAAUGACUCAGGGCCGGGCGUGGUGGCUCACACCUGUAAUCCCAGCACUUUGGGAGGCCGAGGCAGGCGGAUCACGAGGUCAAGAGACUGAGAUCAUCCUGGCUAAUAUGAUUGAGUUCCACAAGGCUGAAGUUUGCCCAUGAUUCUGCUGGGAGAGAUCCACGAUCAUCUUGCCAGGAAACAGUUCCAAGGAUCCGAAUCCAAGUUGGCCUGAAUCCACAGGCCAAAGCACCCUCACUUUCUCCUAUAAUGUCUUUCAUAUUUACCAGUAUCUAGCACUAUGAUGGUUCAGUACACACUGGAAUGAGUGAAUGAAGAAAUGAAUGAACAAAUGAUUGGAUCCCAGGUUGGUAAAGAAAACCUCUCAGCACACACAAAAAGGGUGGAGGAUGGAGGCGGGGAGGAGAUGUAAGAAUAAAUGGAAAAUAAAACAAACAAUCGUUGUAUUACCACUUCCUCUGGGGCUGGGUCAUGGUUUUUAACGGUGUGCAGCGGGCACAUCCAGUGUGGUACAGGCACAUCCACAAAGAGAAACAAAGAGCUAUUUAUUUACUUCCUUUGAGGGGUAAAUAAAGAUCAGGUCAAAACAGGCUCCCCCCAACCGCCAGGGGGUCUUCCCCAGGUGUUGAUGCAGCACUUGGCCUGGAGCAGUCACAGGUGGCCUCUGCUUGUGUGUCAUCCCGCCUUCCUUUACACAUGCGUGGGUCUGGCUCGCAAGGGAGGCCCCAUGUGCAGUGGGGAAGUAGCGUAAGGGGAAAGGUGGCAGGGCAGGGCUUCCUCACCCCUCCGCCAGUGCAGCCAGGGCAGCAACAUUUAUACCACCAGGAGAGAGAUGGGAGAGUCAACAAGUGGGAUGGCGCUGGCCUAAGAGCUGGCUCGGGGUGCUGGAGGCCCCAUGCUGGGCCAGGCAGUAGAUAUGCAGAUGGCUGCAUCUUGUGGGGAUAGGACUAAGAGGGGGACCAUGUACGGGUACAGCCAAUCCCCAUUAUUCAUGGAGUCUGUAUUUGUGAAUUUGCCUCCUUGCUAAAAUUUGUGAC
rnacentral:lncRNA from 1 species